GUUUGUUUUUAUUUUAAAAUGAUUGUUUACAUUUAAAUAAACUUAUUUAAAUUUAAAAAUUAUUAUUUUUAUUUUUUUUUAGUUUUCUAGUAAUUUAAUUUAAUUAAAGAAAAUAAAUGUUGGUUUGGCAGCCAGCUGAAAUAAAAUAAGUUUUUUUAAUAUUUUAUUUUACUUUAAUGUUUAUUUCAAGGAACGAAAAUAUUUUUUGGUUAUCAACUAAUUUUGAUCAGACUGUAAAUUAUUUUAUUUACAUUUAUUUCUUAAUUUAGCAUCAUUCGACACAUUAUUCAUAAUACGCAUUGGCAGGUUUAUUAUAAAUCAAGAUUAAAAACCGAUUCACUAAGAUCCCAAAGUCUGCAAUCAGAACUCACAGAUAUGAUCAAACAUUUCUCAUUACAGAUGGAAUGAUGUGAGUUACCGCUCAUAAUGUGUGACAUGUCCAUCUGCGGUCAAUUCAACUGUUUAAUAACAUCAUUAUACACAAAUCACAGCUGACCAGAGAGACGUGUGAUGAGAUGAUUUCUCCGGUACAGUAUGUGUGGGUCAGAAUGGCCUGUGCUGUUUCGGGUGACGGUCACCAACGAGUGCCAAAGCAGCCAUAUAUAACAAGCGUGACAGAUAAAGCCGCUCUUAUAGCAUGUCUGAUCUGGACAGGAUCUCAGCGCUGUCAUUUCACCGGCGCUCAGGAGAAUUCAUUAUCAUGCAUUAACGGGCGAGCAGAGGCUCAUCAAACGGACGGUGAGACGUGAGGACGCCCGUGUCCUUGACUCGUGAUCAUCUCACACCUGAUCUGAUCUGAUUGGAGCCAUAUGGCCGUCCACAUUAAGCAGAGCCGUCGGUGACACAGAAAUCACGUACAGCGCUGACAGAUUCAGGUACAGCUGAACGACCUUCAGAUCAGCGCUUCUCAACCAGCUCUCAGAUCACAGACGACGAUAUCAUGAAUAUUUAAAUAAAUUUAACUAAACAUGACUAUUUAAAUAAACUUAACUUUUUUAAAAAAAAAAAGUUUUAUUAAUUUUUAGUGUUUUUAUUUUAUUUGAUUUAAUGUUUUUUUUUUUUUUAGCAUUUUAUUUUUUAUAAAUUAAAGUAGUUUGUCAUUUUAUAAAUCUAAAUAGUAAUUUUUUUAUAUUUUUAAUUUUAUGUACAUUUAUAUUUUGAAUAUUUUUAUAUUUUAUAUUAGUUGAUUUUAUUAAUGUU
rnacentral:lncRNA from 12 species